GAUGAAGAACGUAGCGAAAUGCGAUACGUAGUGUGAAUUGCAGAAUUCAGUGAAUCAUCGAAUCUUUGUACGCACAUUGCACCUCUCGGUAUUCCGGGAGGUAUGCCUGUUCGCGCGUCAUUUGUACCCUCAAGCUCUGCUUGGUGUUGGGUGUUUGUUCCGCCUCUGUGUGUGAACUCGCCUCAAAACAAUUGGCAGCCGGCGUACUUGUUUCGGAGCGCAGCACAUUUUGCGAUCCAGAUCAACGUACAGCGGCAUCCAAGAAGCCUUAUUUAACGCUCUUGACCUCGGAUCAGGUAGGGAUACCCGCUGAACUUAAGCAUAUCAAUAAGCGGAGGA
rnacentral:misc_RNA from 1 species